UGUGACUCGUCACACUAUCAUUAACUGAAUCCAUAGGUUAAUGAGGCGAACCGGGGGAACUGAAACAUCUAAGUACCCCGAGGAAAAGAAAUCAACCGAGAUUCCCCCAGUAGCGGCGAGCGAACGGGGAGGAGCCCAGAGCCUGAAUCAGCAUGUGUGUUAGUGGAAGCGUCUGGAAAGGCGCGCGAUACAGGGUGACAGCCCCGUACACAAAAGCGCAUGUGCUGUGAGCUCGAUGAGUAGGGCGGGACACGUGGUAUCCUGUCUGAAUAUGGGGGGACCAUCCUCCAAGGCUAAAUACUCCUGACUGACCGAUAGUGAACCAGUACCGUGAGGGAAAGGCGAAAAGAACCCCGGCGAGGGGAGUGAAAAAGAACCUGAAACCGU
rnacentral:rRNA from 1 species